rnacentral:rRNA from 1 species
UAGUCCACGCCGUAAACGAUGGUCACUAGCUGUUCGAACUUCGGUUUGAGUGGCUAAGCGAAAGUGAUAAGUGACCCACCUGGGGAGUACGUUCGCAAGAAUGAAACUCAAAGGAAUUGACGGGGGCCCGCACAAGCGGUGGAGCAUGUGGUUUAAUUCGAUGAUACGCGAGGAACCUUACCAGGGCUUAAAUGUAAAUUGACAGGUUUAGAGAUAGACUUUUCUUCGGACAAUUUACAAGGUGCUGCAUGGUUGUCGUCAGCUCGUGCCGUGAGGUGUCAGGUUAAGUCCUAUAACGAGCGCAACCGCUGUUGUUAGUUGCCAGCGAUUCAAGUCGGGAACUCUAACAAGACUGCCAGUGCAAACUGUGAGGAAGGAGGGGAUGACGUCAAAUCAUCAUGGCCUUUAUGCCCAGGGCUACACACGUGCUACAAUGGUAUGGACAAAGGGUAGCGACACUGCGAAGUGAAGCCAAUCUCAAAAACCAUAUCUCAGUUCGGAUUGG